AGGAUGAGUAAGAUUAAGGACGUAAAAAGCGAAAGUGGAUUUUCGGACGAUUCUAAAUAUUCAAAAAUAUUAAAAAGCGUGAAAAAUCGCUUGACGUCCAAAACGAGCACUAACGUGUCAAUUGAUCCGAAAGACUCCGUGGAAAAAUCUGCAGUUGACACUGCGUGGAAACAUAAGUUUCCCGAGCGUCAAUCUAAUGUACGUUCAAACAAAGAUACGAUGAUAUCACAGCGGGAGUCGCACAACCGUUCUGGUAGUAGAGGUUGGUGGUCACGUGUGUAGCCGUCUAAAUAGAUUGAUAUAUCGGCUUAUGCUUUAUAAAUAGUUGAUUUUUUUUUAUGAUUUAAUGUACAUCAAUACAAGGCCAGAUUAAAAGUGAAUAGAAAAUUAAA